CAGGGAUUGCCCCAGUAACGGCGAGUGAAGCGGCAACAGCUCAAAUUUGAAAUCUGGCCUCGGCCCGAGUUGUAAUUUGUAGAGGAUGCUUUUGGUGAGGUGCCUUCUGAGUUCCCUGGAACGGGACGCCAGAGAGGGUGAGAGCCCCGUAUAGUUGGACACCGAGCCUCUGUAAAGCUCCUUCGACGAGUCGAGUAGUUUGGGAAUGCUGCUCAAAAUGGGAGGUAUAUCUCUUCUAAAGCUAAAUACUGGCCAGAGACCGAUAGCGCACAAGUAGAGUGAUCGAAAGAUGAAAAGCACUUUGAAAAGAGGGUUAAAUAGUACGUGAAAUUGUUGAAAGGGAAGCGCUUGUGACCAGACUUGUGCCGGGCUGAUCAUCCAGUGUUCUCACUGGUGCACUCUGCCCGGCUCAGGCCAGCGUCGGUUCUCGCAGGGGGACAAAAGCUUCGGGAACGUAGCUCCUCUCGGGGAGUGUUAUAGCCCGCUGCUCAAUACCCUUGUGGGGACCGAGGUUCGCGCUCUGCAAGGACGCUGGCAUAAUGGUCAUCAGCGGCCCGUCUUGAAACACGGACCAAGGAGUCGAGGUUUUGCGCGAGUGUUUGGGUGUAAAACCCGCACGCGUAAUGAAAGUGAACGUAGGUGAGAGCUUCGGCGCAUCAUCGACCGAUCCUGAUGUAUUCGGAUGGAUUUGAGUAAGAGCGUAUAGCCUCGGACCCGAAAGAUGGUGAACUAUGCCUGAAUAGGGUGAAGCCAGAGGAAACUCUGGUGGAGGCUCGCAGCGGUUCUGACGUGCAAAUCGAUCGUCAAAUUUGGGCAUGGGGGCGAAAGACUAAU
rnacentral:rRNA from 1 species